CGUACUGUCUUAAGUCCGUCUUUUUCCCGUCUUGACGUUCCGACGAAAUCAAACAUGUUUAAUAUUAUCAUACAUUUUAAGUCUUGGUAGUGAAGUUAAAUCGUGAACAUUGUCAAC